AUGGAUCAGGACGUCGACGACAGGGCGGCCGCGAGCGUGGCGGCGGCGGCGCGCGCACUGCGGACCGGGCUGGAGCGGUCGCGCGCGAUGGGGCAGGCGCUGGCGCGCGGGGGGCCGCGGCUCGAGGAGAUCCAGGCGGCGCUGCCGGCGCUGGAGGCGGCCGUGCGCCCGAUCCGGGCGCCCAUGGCCGAGCUCGCGGCGGCCGGCCCGCACAUCGACCGCGCCGUGGGCCCCGCCGCCGCCGUGCUCAAGGUGUUCGACGCCGUGCACGGGCUCGAGCCGCCGCUGCUCGAGGCCGGCGCCGCCGCGCGGGACCUCCCAGGGUACCUCGCCGUGCUCGGCCGCCUCGAGGAGGCCCUGCGGUUCCUGUCGGGCAACUGCGGCCUCGCCGCCGAGUGGCUCGCCGACAUCGUCGAGUACCUCGGCGACCACGACCUCGCCGACCCGCGCUUCCUCGCCGAGGUCGGCGUCGCCCUGGACGGGCUCAAGAACCCCUCCGGGUACCUCGACGGCGGCCUCCUGGCGGCCGCGCUCGACGUGCUCGAGGCGGAGUUCCGACGCCUCCUCGCCGAGCAUUCCACGCCGCUCGCGAUGCAGCAGCACGGCGCCACCCCAGCGUCCACCGCGCCGGCUCGCGUCCCGACCGCCGCCGUCCGCAAGCUCAGCCCGAUUCUCGACCGCCUCUUGGCCAAUGGCCGGCAAGACCGCUGCAUCUCUCUGUAUGCCGAUGCACGCGACGGUGUGGUGAGUGCCAGCCUCCAUGCGCUCGGCCUCGAUUACUUGCACAAUCCAGCUGACGACGCCCAGGAAUUAGGCCCUGGGGUCGAGUUGUGGGGGCGGCAUUUGGAGUUUGUGGUGCGCCGCCUCCUCGAGUCUGAGCGUCAGCUCUGCGCCAAGGUGUUUGGGCAGCACAAGGAUGAUGCAUCAGUUUGCUUCGCCGAGAUAGCGUCGCGAGCUAGUGUUCUUGAUUUUUUGAGGUUUGGUCGUGCCGCUGCGGAUGCUAAGAAAGACCCAAUCAAGCUCUUGCGUUUGCUUGAGGUCUUUGAUUCUUUGAAUAAGCUGAGGUUGGAUUUCAACCGGUUGUUCGGCGGAAAGGUGUGUGCGGAUAUUCAGUGCGAGACAAGGGACCUUGUGAAGUUGUUGGUGGAUGGCUCUGUUGAGAUCUUUGAGGAGUUGAUCGUGCAGGUGGAGCUGCAGCGACACAUGCCUCCCCCAGCCGAUGGGGGUGUGCCACGCCUGGUCACUUUUAUCGUCGACUACUGCAACCGGCUCCUUGGUGAGAAAUACAGGCCUGUGCUUGCACAGGUGCUCACCAUCCACCGCAGUUGGCGCAAGGAAGUGUUCAGUGACAAGAUGCUUGCUGUCGCGGUGCUUAACAUUGUCAAGGCCCUUGAAGCCAACUUUGAUGUUUGGUCGAAGGCGUAUGGGAAUAAGAUUCAGUCAUACAUCUUCAUGAUGAACACACGCUGGCAUUUCUAUAAGCACGUGAAGGCUACUAAGCUGGCUGAACUCUUGGGUGAUGUGUGGAUCAGGGAUCAUGAGAAGUUUAAGGAUUUCUAUCUGACGGUGUUUAUGAGGGAUAGCUGGGGGGCGCUUUCGCCGCUGCUCAACCGAGAGGGCCUAAUCUUGUUCUCCAAGGGCCGUGCCACAGCAAAGGACCUCGUGAAGCAGCGCCUUAAAACUUUCAAUGCGAGAUUCAGUGAGAUGUUCCAUGAACAGUCAGCAUGGAUCAUACCGGACAAGGACUUGAGGAGGGAGACAUGUGACCUUGUGAUACAGGCAAUAGUUCCCCCUUACCGGAGUUACAUGCAGAACUACGGGCCGCUCGUAGAGCAGGAUGCAAGUGCUAGCAAGUAUGUAAAGUAUACUGUGGAUGGUUUGGAAAAGAUGCUCGGUUCGCUGUUCGCGCCCCGUCCCAGGAGAUCUGGGAGCUUCCAGAUUGGGCACUCCAAUGGCAAGAUUACUAGUGCAAUGACAGGGAUGUAUCGGAGUGCUUCCACAGUGAAAUAA
rnacentral:rRNA from 1 species